rnacentral:misc_RNA from 1 species
UCUUCCUCACAUUCGAGAAUACUAGUGAUAUAAAAAUAAUUAGAAGAAAACUGUUAUUGAAAGAAAAGAUUAUCUAUCAAAAAACCAUUACUAUUUUCUGAAAAAAACACUCACAUUUCUUACGACAGCUACAUUACGUUAUCUCAAAUGUUUCAUAUUUCGCGACCAUCAGUUGCAUAUUUCAUUCCUGAAGUGAAUAUAAUAUUUUGAAAUCAAUAUCAGUUGUUGUUUGUCUACCCUGGAAAGAGUUUAAAGCUAAAGCGUUCACUUGCUGGCGGAUUACAAGAACAGAUCUGAACACAACCCGGAGUUAAUUACAAAAAUUGAUUGCAAAAUGCAUGAAGAAAAUAAAAAAUUGUGUGAAAACUACCACGUCUGAACGUACCUUUGAAGCGCCAUCUGCAGUUGUGAUACCGCAACCGUGAACGAAUGCUCAAAUAUCGUAAUAGCAAAUACAUCCACCAUCAAUGAAAUACGAGCUAAGUGAGAUUGUGGAAGGUGAAACAUAGUUUUUUAGUUGGGCGACAUCUGCUGCUAAGGUGCGAAACAAACGGGUAAAGAACUUGUAACAACGAAAAGGUGUAGUCAAAAUUAUUAAUAAAAUUAAAAUUAAUUAUAAAAAUUGUUAAGCGUAAUUAAAUAAAUUGAGUGAUUUAUAUACCACGUAAAUUAAUGUAAAUAAAUACACAAUAUAACAUAAGAGUGAUGUAAAAAUGUAGGUUAAACGAUGUAUUCAUAUAUAUAUCCAUCAAAGGUGUAAAGAUUUUUAUUUGAGUUUCAACUUCGGAUACAAGAAGCAAACUCCGGUGUAGUUGUUUGAAAUGUGUGUAUUUUGUUUUUGUGGAAAAAAGUUUAGAGGGCGAGAAUUUCGUUUUUGUAAAUUAUAUAGAGAAACAAAUUUUAUUUUUUUUAUCUUCUAAAAUCUUCGUACACAAUAAAAGAAUCUCCAAUUUUAUAUAGGCCGGGGCAUUGUUUUCGUCAAUACACAUAUACUUUUUUUACUACACCAAAUAUAUUUAAGAUGGUAUUAUGGAACCGACUUGAUUUUGUUUUUUUCGAAGAUUAGCAAAACCGAUUUUCGAAUCAGCUGGAAAAAAAACUUGUGCAAAAAACUCAGAAAUUUAAUUUAAAUUUGUAUGGGCUUUAACAAAUUUUUGAUUUUAAUUAAAUAUAAAUUACCUUCCGCCAUGAUGAUAGAAGGAUUAGGAGAAGCCAGUAAGAAAAUAAGCUCUGAAUUUUAAGGGAUGAAAGCAAUGCGUUGGAGCCGCCAGAGUCGAUAUGUGAAAUUUGCAUUCUAAAUACUUCAACUUUCAACUGAUUAACUGAUCAACUGAUUGAUUCAGACUCUAAAACUGAUCAGAUGUUAUUUCUGUUCAGUUUUAUUUGGCAUUUCGUCAUGGAAGAACUUACGACUGAGCAACGUGUACAAAUCGGUCAACUUUAU